AAGGAUGAAGCUAAUUUAGCAUUUAACUGUUAAUUAAAAGAUAGCACUUUUAAGGUGCCUUCCUUU
rnacentral:tRNA from 1 species